rnacentral:rRNA from 1 species
UACGUAGGUGGCGAGCGUUGUCCGGAUUUAUUGGGCGUAAAGCGCGCGCAGGCGGUUGUCUAAGUCUGCUGUGAAAUCUCCCGGCUCAACUGGGAGGGGGCGGCGGAGACUGGGCGACUGGAGGGACCUAGAGGCCGGUGGAAUUCCCGGUGUAGUGGUGAAAUGCGUGGAGAUCGGGAGGAACACCUGUGGCGAAGGCGGCCGGCUGGGGGUACCCUGACGCUGAGGCGCGACAGCGUGGGGAGCGAACCGG